rnacentral:lncRNA from 1 species
AAGAAACAAAUGUUUUCAAAAAUAUUUAUGCAUGUACAUGUGGUAUAUGUACCUCAAUUAAUUAAAAUCAUGUGUACAACUAAAAAUAUUUUUUUUUAAACAUUGUAUAACUAAUUAAAACAAAAAAAAUAAAAAAGUACAACUUGGCAAAACGAGUACAACUUGUAACUUUGGUACAACUAGUGCAUUUUGGCGGCUACACGUGUCUAAUGUGGAUCACGUGUUUGUUGUUUGGUCCUUUUAUUUUUAUUUUUUUCCUACACUUAAGAAUUUUUAAAAAAUUCAAUUUCAAAUUGAAAUUGAAAGAGGGAAUCGGGAAUCGGGUAUAGCUAGGAUUUACUGUCCUUUGACUCUUUUCACUUCUUCUCCUUCUUUCUUUUUGGGUUGGUGCGAUUUCGUCUUUUAUUUU